rnacentral:rRNA from 1 species
CGUGGAGAACCUGCCGUAUACUGGGGGAUAACACUUAGAAAUAGGUGCUAAUACCGCAUAAGCGCACAGCUUCGCAUGAAGCAGUGUGGAAAACAAAAGCUAAAGCUUUUGGUGGUAUACGAUGGAUCCGCGUCUGAUUAGCUAGUUGGCGGGGUAAAGGCCCACCAAGGCGACGAUCAGUAGCCGGCCUGAGAGGGUGAACGGCCACAUUGGGACUGAGACACGGCCCAAACUCCUACGGAAGGCAGCAG